CCUACGGGGGGCAGCAGUGGGGAAUUUUGGACAAUGGGCGCAAGCCUGAUCCAGCUAUUCCGCGUGUGGGAUGACGGCCCUCGGGUUGUAAACCUCUUUUGUCGGGGAGCAAAAGACGCCACGCGUGGCGUUCCGAGAGUACCCGAAGAAAAAGCAUCGGCUAACUCCGUGCCAGCAGCCGCGAUAAUACGGAGGAUGCGAGCGUUAUCCGGAUGUAUUGGGGUUAAAGGGUGCGCAGGCGGAAGAUCAAGUCAGCGGUAAAAUUGAGAGGCUCAACCUCUUCGAGCCGUUGAAACUGGUUUUCUUGAGUGAGUGAGAAGUAUGCGGAAUGCGUGGUGUAGCGGUGAAAUGCAUAGAUAUCACGCAGAACUCCGAUUGCGAAGGCAGCAUACCGGCGCUCAACUGACGCUCAUGCACGAAAGUGUGGGUAUCGAACAGGAUUAGAUACCCCAGUAGUC
rnacentral:rRNA from 1 species